rnacentral:rRNA from 1 species
UACGGAGGAUGCAAGCGUUAUCCGGAAUGAUUGGGCGUAAAGCGUCCGCAGGCGGCAAUGUAAGUCUGCUGUUAAAGAGUCUAGCUCAACUAGAUAAGAGCAGUGGAAACUACAUAGCUAGAGUACGUUCGGGGCAGAGGGAAUUCCUGGUGUAGCGGUGAAAUGCGUAGAGAUCAGGAAGAACACCAGUGGCGAAGGCGCUCUGCUAGGCCGUAACUGACACUGAGGGACGAAAGCUAGGGGAGCGAAUGGG